rnacentral:lncRNA from 1 species
UCUUGUACAAUGCUUCUCAAGCAUGUUGCAGUGUAACUUGGUCUCUAAGCCAUGAAAACCUCACCUAACAGUUAUUGGUCUCAUUUCUUAGUUAAGUCAGACCCACCGUAUAACCGUAGGAAUAAAGUCGUCAUUGGGUCCUCACCUAACAGUUAUUGGUGCCCAACCCCACCUUUUCCCUACAACAUCUCAUGUCUAUAGAGAGGUCCAGCCCCCCGAUGCAACUUGACCACUGUAUCCAGCCGAGACAAAUCAACAUUAGAAAGGCCUUAGCAGCUCUACUACAGUGGAAGACCUAUUGACUUAAUAUUGGUUAAUCAGGUCUUAGUGUUUGCAACUUGAGCUCUUCAUAAGAGGUAAUCGAACAAUUGGCCAGGUAAGCAGGUGGGAGGCUCCCCUUACUCAGAGAGUAAGGUCCUAAUUAAGUAACCACCUUUCAUGCUUUCCGAGACACCAAUU